rnacentral:rRNA from 1 species
AGUGAACGCUGGCGGUAGGCCUAACACAUGCAAGUCGAACGGCAGCACAGUAAGAGCUUGCUCUUACGGGUGGCGAGUGGCGGGCGGGUGAGGAAUACAUCGGAAUCUACUUUUUCGUGGGGGAUAACGUAGGGAAACUUACGCUAAUACCGCAUACGACCUACGGGUGAAAGCAGGGGAUCUUCGGACCUUGCGCGAUUGAAUGAGCCGAUGUCGGAUUAGCUAGUUGGCGGGGUAAAGGCCCACCAAGGCGACGAUCCGUAGCUGGUCUGAGAGGAUGAUCAGCCACACUGGAACUGAGACACGGUCCAGACUCCUACGGGAGGCAGCAGUGGGGAAUAUUGGACAAUGGGCGCAGGCCUGAUCCAGCCAUACCGCGUGGGUGAAGAAGGCCUUCGGGUUGUAAAGCCCUUUUGUUGGGAAAGAAAAGCAGCAGGUUAAUACCCCGCUGUUCUGACGGUACCCAAAGAAUAAGCACCGGCUAACUUCGUG